rnacentral:tRNA from 1 species
GGACGGGUGGCCGAGUGGUUUAAGGCAGCGGUCUUGAAAACCGCCGUAGGUUUACGCUUACCGUGGGUUCGAAUCCCACCCCGUCCG